rnacentral:rRNA from 1 species
CCCUUACCCGCUGAACUUAAGCAUAUCAAUAAGCGGAGGAAAAGAAACUAACAAGGAUUCCCCUAGUAACGGCGAGUGAAGCGGGAAGAGCUCAAAUUUGAAAUCUGUCUGGUAUCCAGGCCGAAUUGUAGUUUAUAAAAGUGUUUUCGGGGGCAGUCUAGGAUCAAGUCCUUUGGGAUAAGGCAGCAUAGAGGGUGAGACUCCCGUUGCUUCUAGACUUGCUUCUAUGUGAUACACCUUUGACGAGUCGGGUUGUUUGGGAAUGCAGCCCAAAAUGGGUGGUAAAUACCAUCUAAAGCUAAAUACUGGCGAGAGACCGAUAGCGAACAAGUACCGUGAGGGAAAGAUGAAAAGCACUUUGGAAAGAGAGUGAAAAGGCCCUGAAAUUGCUAGCAGGGAAACGAUGGCGCCUGGAGCUGGCUGGUGGAGGUAUAGCAAGGCCCAAUGGGUGUUGUGGAGCCACUGCCUAGCCUAGUCAUCACCCGUUCAGAGGGAGGUGCACGUGGUGGGGAAGGUAGGCCGCUCGUUUCGGCGAGAGGCUGUUAUAGCCCAUAUCACGCCCCUUUUCUUUGGACGAGGCGCGAGGCGGCUUACCGUCUGCGGCUUUCGAGUUGAUGGCGUAACGGGUGUCAUUGACCCGUCUUGAAACACGGACCAAGGAGUCUAACAUGUAUGCGAGUCUUUGGGUGCAAAACCCAGAAGGCGUAAUGAAGGUAAAGGCGCGUUCGGCGUGCUGAGGUGUGAAGUGAGUUUUCGGAUUCACUGCAACAUCGACCGAUCUGGAGGUUUUCUGAAAGAUUUGCGUGAGAGCAUACCUGUUGGGACCCGAAAGAUGGUGAACUAUGCCUGACGAGGAUGAAGCCAGAGGAAACUCUGGUGGAGGUCCGAAGCGGUUCUGACGUGCAAAUCGAUCGUCACAGUUGGGUAUAGGGGCGAAAGACUAAUCGAACCAUCUAGUAGCUGGUUCCCUCCGAAGUUUCCCUCAGGAAAGGG